rnacentral:misc_RNA from 1 species
GUUGUGCUACCUAUAGCUGCUGAAUUUGCGCCUGAUUUCACCAUCAUAUCUGCUGGAUUUGAUGCAGCAAGGGGUGAUCCUUUGGGCUGUUGUGAUGUAACUCCAGCUGGCUAUGCACAGAUGACUCAUAUGUUGUAUACUAUCUGCAGGGGAAAGCUGCUCGUAAUUCUUGAGGGCGGCUAUAAUCUACGCUCCAUAUCAUCUUCUGNNNNNNNNNNNUUUUGAAAAACUAGACUCCAGAGAAGGCCAAUGGUGCAUCUGAAUCUUCAAGACUUCCAGAACAGUUUGCAAGCCAGCUUUAGAAGGGACAGUAUUGCCUAAUUCGAAUU